rnacentral:tRNA from 1 species
AUCGAGGUAGUUUAAAAAAAAUAUUACGGUGUGGUCGUAGUGAUACUAUGUUCUUGAUA